rnacentral:rRNA from 1 species
UGGGGAAUUUUGGACAAUGGGCGAAAGCCUGAUCCAGCAAUGCCGCGUGUGUGAAGAAGGCCUUCGGGUUGUAAAGCACUUUUGUCCGGAAAGAAAUCCUUGGCUCUAAUACAGUCGGGGGAUGACGGUACCGGAAGAAUAAGCACCGGCUAACUACGUGCCAGCAGCCGCGGUAAUACGUAGGGUGCAAGCGUUAAUCGGAAUUACUGGGCGUAAAGCGUGCGCAGGCGGUUUGCUAAGACCGAUGUGAAAUCCCCGGGCUCAACCUGGGAACUGCAUUGGUGACUGGCAGGCUAGAGUAUGGCAGAGGGGGGUAGAAUUCCACGUGUAGCAGUGAAAUGCGUAGAGAUGUGGAGGAAUACCGAUGGCGAAGGCAGCCCCCUGGGCCAAUACUGACGCUCAUGCACAAAAGCGUGGGGAGCAAACAGGAUUAGAUACCCUGGUAGUCCACGCCCUAAACGAUGUCAACUAGUUGUUGGGGAUUCAUUUCCUUAGUAACGUAGCUAACGCGUGAAGUUGACCGCCUGGGGAGUACGGUCGCAAGAUUAAAACUCAAAGGAAUUGACGGGGUCAUAGCUGUUUCCU